CACGUAGGGGGCAAGCGUUGUCCGGAUUUAUUGGGCGUAAAGAGCUCGUAGGUGGUUCGGUAAGUCGGGUGUUAAACCCCCAGGCUCAACCUGGGGACGCCACUCGAUACUGCUGUGACUAGAGUCCGGUAGGGGAGCGUGGAAUUCCUGGUGUAGCGGUGAAAUGCGCAGAUAUCAGGAGGAACACCAGCGGCGGAGGCGGCGCUCUGGGCCGGUACUGACACUGAGGCACGAAAGCUAGGGGAGCAAACAGG
rnacentral:rRNA from 1 species